rnacentral:rRNA from 1 species
GGAUUGUAAAUUCCUGUCGUUAGGGACGAUAAUGACGGUACCUAACAAGAAAGCACCGGCUAACUACGUGCCAGCAGCCGCGGUAAAACGUAGGGUGCAAGCGUUGUCCGGAAUUACUGGGUGUAAAGGGAGCGCAGGCGGGAAGACAAGUUGGAAGUGAAAACCAUGGACUCAACCCAUGAAUUGCUUUCAAAACUGUUUUUCUUGAGUAGUGCAGAGGUAGAUGGAAUUCCCGGUGUAGCGGUGGAAUGCGUAGAUAUCGGGAGGAACACCAGUGGCGAAGGCGGUCUACUGGGCACCAACUGACGCUGAGGCUCGAAAGCAUGGGUAGCAAACAGGAUUAGAUACCCUGGUAGUCCAUGCCGUAAACGAUGAUUACUAGGUGUUGGGGGAUUGACCCCCUCAGUGCCGCAGUUAACACAAUAAGUAAUCCACCUGGGGAGUA